GCUUUUGGAACCAGCAGUCUAAGCAAAGAUGUUCAAACCUUCUUCUCCACACACACCCCUUCAAGUUUUGCCCAGGAGAACCACAGAGCGCUCAAAGGACAGCUGAAAGACAAGUCUCUCCAGUGCAUCCUGGAUCUUCUUCCAGGCGGAGGGGCCAAGCGCUGCAGCAUCUCCCAGGCAGAUGGACCUCACAGCGGGCGGCUGUCCAUGCGAACCCCCUGGCCCUCAUCAACGGAUGGUGUAUCACAGUGGGAACACGGUCACACAUCAAUCCCAGUAAAGGCCUGGCCUGCCUUGGUGAUGACAUUUAGCUGCUUUGUGUUGGUCGGUGUGACAUAUGGAGGGUUUUGUGUGUUUGAUUUGUCAACGGACACACACAUCUUACAUGCUAACAAAGUUUUGUGUGUGUGUGUGUGUGUGUUUUUUUAUAAAUGAAAAUGUUAGGAUAUGUGUAUAUGGGAAUAAGUGUUUGCGAAACGGACAUCUGUGCACAAAUAUAUUUUGGUUUAAAUGUUUUGUGGAAUUGAUUUGAUGUUGGAAGUGUUUCAGGGAUGGAAACUUUCUGCUUCUCCUCAUUUUGCUCAUUUACUUUUACUUCCUAUUUCUGCAUUUUACAAAUAAAUAAACCGAUAAAAGUUGUAAAUAUCAUCUUACUCAGGCACAAAUAAAUAUGUUUUUGGAACAAGAA